ACACAAUAAGUAUCCCACCUGGGGAGUACGGCCGCAAGGUUGAAACUCAAAGGAAUUGACGGGGGCCCGCACAAGCAGUGGAGUAUGUGGUUUAAUUCGAAGCAACGCGAAGAACCUUACCAGGGCUUGACAUGCAGGUGAAUACGGCAGAGAUGUCGUAGCUCUUCGGAGCACCUGUGCAGGUGGUGCAUGGUUGUCGUCAGCUCGUGUCGUGAGAUGUUGGGUUAAGUCCCGCAACGAGCGCAACCCUUGUUGCUAGUUGCCAUCAUUCAGUUGGGCACUCUAGCGAGACUGCCGGUGACAAAUCGGAGGAAGGUGGGGACGACGUCAAAUCAUCAUGCCCCUUAUGUCCUGGGCUACACACGUGCUACAAUGGCUAUAACAGCAGGGAGCUAAGGCGCAAGCCGGAGCAAAUCCUCAAAAAUAGUCCCA
rnacentral:rRNA from 1 species